rnacentral:rRNA from 1 species
GACGAACGCUGGCGGCGUGCUUAACACAUGCAAGUCGAACGGAAAGGCCCUGCUUUUGUGGGGUGCUCGAGUGGCGAACGGGUGAGUAACACGUGAGUAACCUGCCCUUGACUUUGGGAUAACUUCAGGAAACUGGGGCUAAUACCGGAUAGGAGCUCCUGCUACAUGGUGGGGGUUGGAAAGUUUCGGCGGUUGGGGAUGGACUCGCGGCUUAUCAGCUUGUUGGUGGGGUAGUGGCUUACCAAGGCUUUGACGGGUAGCCGGCCUGAGAGGGUGACCGGCCACCUUGGGACUGCGAUACGGCCCAGACUCCUACGGGCGGCAGCAGUGGGGAAUAUUGCACAAUGGGCGGAAGCCUGAUGCAGCAACGCCGCGUGCGGGAUGACGGCCUUCGGGUUGUAAACCGCUUUCGCCUGUGACGAAGCGUGAGUGACGGUAAUGGGUAAAGAAGCACCGGCUAACUACGUG